UGCCAUUCAACUCCGAUCCCUACCUUCGAGUGGCACCGGUCGGGAUACGAGCAACCAUAGGGACAAUCGGGUAACCAACCCCGGUGCGAACUUUGGUCGUAUGCUGACAGGAACGG
rnacentral:ribozyme from 1 species